AGCGCGGAGCACGAGGAAUUCUGCGUGAAUCUGCCGGGACCAUCCGGUAAGGCUAAAUACUCCCGAGAGACCGAUAGCGAACCAGUACCGUGAGGGAAAGGUGAAAAGCACUUCGAACAGAAGAGUGAAAUAGUUCCUGAAACCGUGCGCCUACAAGCGGUCGGAGCUGCUUAAAGCAGUGACGGCGUGCCUUUUGCAUAAUGAACCUACGAGUUGCCUUUGCCGGCAAGGUUAAGUGUGACGACACACGUAUCCGAAGCGAAAGCGAGUCUGAAUAGGGCGUAUAGUCGGCAGUGGCAGACGCGAAACCAAGUGAUCUACCCUUGGCCAGGUUGAAGGCUGGGUAACACCAGCUGGAGGACCGCACCAAUAAGCGUUGAAAAGCUUCUGGAUGAGCUGAGGGUAGGGGUGAAAGGCUAAUCAAACUUGGAGAUAGCUCGUACUCCCCGAAAUGCAUUUAGGUGCAGCCUCUUUAUAGUAUAUCGUGAGGUAGAGCGACUGAUUGGAUGCGAGGGCUUCACCGCCUAUCAAGUCCAGAUAAACUCCGAAUGCGCGAUAUAUAUUUAAAGGGAGUGAGGGCGCGGGUGCUAAGGUCCGUGUCCGAGAGGAGAAGAAUCCAGACCACCGGCUAAGGCCCCCAAAUGAUCGUCAAGUUGAACUAACGAGGUCGGAUCGCAGAGACAGCUAGGAUGUUGGCUUGGAAGCAGCCAUUCAUUUAAAGAGUGCGUAACAGCUCACUAGUCGAGCGAUCUGGCGUGGAUAAUAAUCGGGCAUAAACGAUCUGCCGAAGCCGUGGAUGUCGCAAGACAUGGUAGGGGAGCAUUCCAUGCCGCGUCGAAGAUGAGGGAUGACCCUUGUUGGAGCGCAUGGAAAAGCAAAUGUAGGUAUGAGUAACGAUAAGGGGGGCGAGAAACCCCCCCGCCGAAAGACCAAGGUUUCCUGAUCAACGCUAAUCGGAUCAGGGUGAGUCGGGACCUAAGGCAAAGCCGAACGGCGCCGCCGAUGGAAGAAUGGGUUAAUAUUCCCAUACUGCCUCAUGGAGUGACGUGGAGACGGAGAAGUGACAGUCCUGCCGGCUGACGGAAUAGCCGGUUGAAGGGUGUAGAUAUUGAUUCCCGUAGGCAAAUCCGCGGGGAGAGUCGAACCUGAGAGUAUACGGAGCGCUUGCGCAACGUAAUAUGGACGUAACCAUGCUCCCGAGAAAAUCCGCUAAACUUAUCCAUGCGGCACCCGUACCGUAAACGGACACACGUGGUCGGGUUGAGAAUACUGAGGCGCUCGAGUGAUUCACGGUUAAGGAACUAGGCAAAUUGACCCUGUAACUUCGGGAUAAAGGGUCCUCGUCGUAAGGCGAGGCGCAGAGAAUAGGUCCAGGCAACUGUUUAACAAAAACACAUGGCUGUGCUAAAUGGAAACAUGAUGUAUACAGCCUGACACCUGCCCGGUGCCGGAAGGUUAAGAGGAGAUGUCAUCCGCGAGGAGAAGCGUUGAAUUGAAGCCCCGGUAAACGGCGGCCGUAACUAUAACGGUCCUAAGGUAGCGAAAUUCCUUGUCGGGUAAGUUC
rnacentral:rRNA from 1 species